rnacentral:lncRNA from 1 species
GUACCAGGGAUUGAACUCAGGGGCACUUGACCACUGAGCCACAUCCCUAGCCCUAUUUUGUACUUAUUAGAGACAGGGUCUCACUGAGUUGCUUAGCACCUUGCUAAACUGCUGAGGCUGGCUUUGAACUUGCAAUCCUCCUGCCUCCAGCUUGAGUUGCAGGGAUUACAGGCGUGUGCCACCAUGCCUGUCCACCCUGGGAUUCUUAAGAGGAACCACUGAAAAUAUAAUUAAAGAGAUUAAUCUAAAAACAAAACCAGGCCCUAAGCAACUUAGUGAGACUGUUUCAAAAUAAACAAAUAAAAAAGGCUGGGAAUGUGGUUCAGUGGUUAAGUACCCCUGGAUUCAAUACCUGGAACCAAUACCAAAAAUACUUGAAAGUGCCCCUGGAUUCAAUCCCAGUACAAAAUAAAUAAAUAAAAUACAAUAAUAAGCUAAAACUAGAAGAGCCCAGGCAUAGUAGCACAUGCCCACAGUCUCAGCUACUUGGGAGGCUGAGGUAAGAAGACUGCUUGGGUUUGGGGUUAGUAUUGGCAACAUAUUAAGACCCUGUCUUUAAAACAAAACAAAACAGUAGAAGGAUGGAAAAGAUAUACCAUGCAAACAGUAAGCAUAAGAAAGCUGGAACAGCUAUUUUAGCAUCAGACAAAACCAAACUUCAAGACAAUUACUAGAAAUAAACUUGGACAUUUAUAAAGACAAAUGGCCAAUGUAUCAGGAAGACUAAAGCAAUAUUAGAAGUUUUACAGUUGUAAAUGAAUAUAUUAAAAAAGAAAGAUCUCUGGGGCUGGGGCUGUAGCUCAGCAGUAGAGCACUUGCCUAGCACGUGGGAGGUGCUGGGUUCCAUCCUCAGCACCACAUAAAAAUAAAUAAUUAAAAUAAAGGUAUUGUGUCUGACAACAAUUGAAAAAAAAAAAAAGAAAGAAAGACCUCAGGCUACAAUAUAGCUCAAUGUUGAGUAUAAAUGCAGGAGGCCCUGGGUUUACUCCCUAGUACCCCCUACUGAUACAAAUCUCAAAUCAAUAACUGUAAUUGUAUGUCCCAAGGAAAAAAACAAAAAACUAAAUCCAAAGCUCCCAGAAUGAAGGAAAUCAAAGAUUAGGUUGGAGAUAUAUGUAACAAAGAAAAAAAAAAAAAGUAAAGAUGGGAGGGAAGGAGAGAGAAACAAAUGCAGGACAUGAUGGCACAUACCUGUAAUCAACUAUUUGAGAGGCUAAGGAGGAUCUCAAGUAUGAGGUCAGCCCAGGUAACUCAGAGAGACCCUG